UCAGGGAUUAGCACAUCUCACAUCUGAGGGUGGACGUGCCGCUCUCUUCCCUAACUGAACUUCUGCCUAUUAUUAUUGGUGUUGUGUCUCGCCAUGCCACCCAAGCUUUCAAAAUACCCUGGUCCUGCUGGCCACUCGUCGAGAACUCCAAAGCAAGAUGGCAUUAUCCCGAAAACAAAAGGACUGGUUGGUACUCGAUCCCAGAGGAGGGGGACCCCCGAUCAGCUGGUCAUGGUGGCACGCGGGUAUCAAGCUAUCAACUCGGACUGAUGGUCAACCUGCGGGUGAUUUUGACAUGCGGCAGCUUGGGGUCGCCCGCAGGGUCCUCCGCCCCAAGGGAAUGACCAGGACAUGCGCCUCCCCCCGCCAGGCAUGGGGGGGGGAGGUGGUGGAGGUGGAGCGCCGUCACACCAUGAUAACAGGUUUCCCCGUGACCCGCGUGCCGAUUUCGUUGACCAGCGGGGCAUACAGUGCUUCUGAGAGCCCCCGCCCCAGCCCCGAGACCUGCGGGGUGACCCACUGGACUUGAGGUCCUGGUGGCACCCGACCCGAGCUACUGGUACUGCCGUUGGCUGGCGGAUGAGAUCUUCCUGACGGAUGUGACGGCCAACUUCCUGACUGUGAGGAUCGGGGAGUGCAAGAAGCGGCCGGAGGUUUUCAAGGACACGACCGACCCAAACCAGAAUUCCCAGUGCUCGAUUGUGUGAUGUGUUGUGAUUGUGAAUAUGUCUUGACUUUGCUGGUGAAGGUUUCCAUGGCAAAUAGGAUCAUACUGAAAAGAUAUUAGCCGGGGGUCUUCAAGGACACGACCGACCCAAACCAGAAAUCCUAGUACUCAAUUAUGUGGUUAUUGUGAAUAUGUCUUGACUUUGCUGGUGAAGGUUUCCAUGGUGAACAGGAUCAUACUGAAAGGAUAUUAGCAUGGAAAGAUAUUGUUGUGCUGUGUUCGUGGGAGUCCCGUAAACAAACAUGUGGGUACAGCUAUUACUGGACGCAAAAUGUUAUUGUAAAGCCUGCUGGAUACAUUUGACAAGCAUAGAAAACCACCUAAAAAUUACAAGUUAAAACUCUGUCAUCACUUGCAGAAUUGGAAGUCCAAACAAUCUAAACUGAUACUUCAAAGGAAGCUCACAGCCUUAGGAUUACUUUAGGCAUUUGGGUUUGAGUCUUGGUGCAAAGCCAGAUUUUUAAGAAAUUUAUUUAUAAAAUUGUACGGGCCGUGAACACCUCGUGUGUGACCCCCUGCUGCUCACAAGCCGUACACCAAUUAGCCCAGUAGCAGCGACGGGACAAAUUUGUGGCUUUACCGUGGAGCAGCGACGAGCCAAACUUGUGCCAUGAUUUAAACCCCAAAAAAUAGAUGAUACAUAAGCUGAUCACAAAUGUUUUGAUAUAUACUAUGAAAUGGUUUGUGUGAGGGGUGAUUUUUUCUCAUUUUUCUCGCUUAGAGGGACCAUUAAGAAACAUGAUCCCCGCUGCUACCGGGUUGAAAAAAACAAAACUUCCUAUGGAGAAAAAAUAUUCUCUGGGGAAGCUCAAGAGAUAGAGGAAGGCCAUUUCCUGAGGAGUAUUAUGCACUCUUUGUUAUGCCUGUCAGGGCAAACACAGAUUUUUAAUUAAUAUUUUCCCACUAGUACUAUGGGUUGUCCACCUCACCCUACAAUGGAAACAAUAUAACAUUUGAAAAACCAUUCUAUUCCACCUUCUGUAUAAAAAGAGAUGUUAUAUGUUUUUUCCUAUUUUAGUCAUGGAAUUUACUGUUGUGCAGAAUAUUGUUGAACACUUGGGCACUUAAACAGGAGGAGGCUUUUCAAACAGGCAAAUGUUGGUGCCCAGAUGUUUAAAAAUGCUGCUUGGAAGUCUGGAAGAGUGGCUGGAAUCUGCGACGUCUUUGCUGAUGGGGUCUUCGUGGUGCAGUGGUUAGCACACUCAGCUCACAACCAAGAGAGCACGGGGUCGAUUCCCAGGCGGAGUGGAAAAAUUUGGGCGGCUUUUCCGAUACCCUACGCCCCUGUCCACCCAGCAGUGAAUGGGUACCAGGUAUUAAUCGGGGGUUGUGUCCCGUCUCCUGGGGUUUGUUCCCUUCUAUAAUUCCUUCCCAUUCUGUCUCUCUCCGGCACAUGACCACAGAUGUUGCGCCCACUAAACAAAACUUUCCAACUUUUUCUCUGGUGAUUCUCUGUACAGGCAGUGGUUCGGAAGGUGUACUAGACUGCCUCCAGCUGACUGUUUGAGGCUCUACCAUGUCUUCCGGUCAUGGUUUUAGGGUUUCCGCCGUCCAUAAGCUUAAGAAAUCUUGUGUACUGUAUUUCCAAGCUUCUGAAAAUGGACCCAAAAUAUAAUACUGAGUGCCUCUCUAAUGUUUAUCUCUAUGUAUAGGGAAGGGAGUUGUAUCAUAGCCUGUUAAGAAUAUUAAGGUGUCUAUUGUGUAUUUCCA